rnacentral:rRNA from 89 species
UAACAAGGUCUCCGUUGGUGAACCAGCGGAGGGAUCAUUA